rnacentral:rRNA from 1 species
CAAUAGCGUAUAUUAAAGUUGUUGCGGUAAAAAAGCUCGUAGUUGGAUUUCUACCGAAGAUAGCCGGUCGGGUCUUCGACCUUGUAUCUGGUUUUGUCUUUGGUAUCCUCAUAGGGAACGUUUCUGCGCUUUAUUGCGUGGUGCGGUAUCUAUGACUUUUACUUUGAGGAAAUUAGAGUGUUCACGGCAGGCAAACGCCUUGAAUAUAUUAGCAUGGAAUAAUAACAUAGGAUCUUCGUCCUAUUUUGUUGGUUUCUAGGGCUAAGAUAAUGAUUAAUAGGGAUAAUUGGGGGCAUCUGUAUCAACGCGUCAGAGGCGGAAUUCUUGGAUUGCGUUGCGACAAACUACUGCGAAAGCAUUUGCCAAGGAUGUUUUCAUUGA